rnacentral:tRNA from 2 species
GCUUAGCUCAGUUGGUAGAGCGCUCCACUGGAAACGGAGAGGUCACUGUUUCGAUACCAGGAACAAGCG